AUUGAACGCUGGCGGCAGGCCUAACACAUGCAAGUCGAGCGGAGCGGCGGACGGGUGAGUAAUGCCUAGGAAUCUGCCUGGUAGUGGGGGAUAACGUCCGGAAACGGGCGCUAAUACCGCAUACUAUCAGUUGAGCCUAGGUCGGAUUAGCUAUUGGGUGGGGUAAAGGCCUACCAAGGCGACGAUCCGUAACUGGUCUGAGAGGAUGAUCAGUCAAAUGGGAAUGGAGAAACGGCCCAAACCCUUCGGGGAGGAAGCGGUGGGAAAUAUCGGACAAUGGGGGAAAGCCUGCGGCAGACAUGCCGGUUGUGGGUAACAGGUCUUCGGAUUGUAAGGCAUGUUAAGUUGGGCGGCGUUACCAACAGAGUAAGCAACGGCUAACUACGUGCCAGCAGCCGCGGUAAUAC
rnacentral:rRNA from 1 species